rnacentral:rRNA from 1 species
UACGGAGGGGGCUAGCGUUGUUCGGAAUUACUGGGCGUAAAGCGCACGUAGGCGGCUUUGUAAGUCAGAGGUGAAAUCCCGGGGCUCAACUCCGGAACUGACCUUUAAAACUGCAGUCGCUUGAAUCCAGGAGAGGUGAGUGGAAUUCCGAGUGUAGAGGUGAAAUUCGUAGAUAUUCGGAAGAACACCAGUGGCGAAGGCGGCUCACUGGACUGGUAUUGACGCUGAGGUGCGAAAGCGUGGGGAGCAACAGGG